rnacentral:rRNA from 1 species
AUUGAACGCUGGCGGCAUGCCUUACACAUGCAAGUCGAACGGCAGCACGGGGCAACCUGGUGGCGAGUGGCGAACGGGUGAGUAAUGCAUCGGAACGUACCUUUCAGUGGGGGAUAACGUAGCGAAAGUUACGCUAAUACCGCAUAUUCUGUGAGCAGGAAAGCAGGGGAUCGCAAGACCUUGCGCUGAUUGAGCGGCCGAUGUCAGAUUAGCUAGUUGGUGAGGUAAAGGCUCACCAAGGCGACGAUCUGUAGCGGGUCUGAAAGGAUGAUCCGCCACACUGGAGCUGAGACACGGUCCAGACUCCUACGGGAGGCAGCAGUGGGGAAUUUUGGACAAUGGGGGCAACCCUGAUCCAGCCAUGCCGCGUGAGCGAAGAAGGCCUUCGGGUUGUAAAGCUCUUUCGGCCGGGAAGAAAUCGCACGGGCUAAUACCCUGUGUGGAUGACGGUACCGGAAUAAGAAGCACCGGCUAACUACGUGCCAGCCGCCGCGGUAACAC